rnacentral:rRNA from 1 species
AUUGAACGCUGGCGGCAGGCCUGACACAUGCAAGUCGAACGGUAGCACAGGGGAGCUUGCUCCUCGGGUGACGAGUGGCGGACGGGUGAGUAAUGUCUGGGGAUCUGCCCGAUGGAGGGGGAUAACUACUGGAAACGGUAGCUAAUACCGUAUAACGUCGCAAGACCAAAGUGGGGGACCUUCGGGCCUCACACCAUCGGAUGAACCCAGAUGGGAUUAGCAAGUAGGUGGGGUAACGGCUCACCUAGGCGACGAUCCCUAGCUGGUCUGAGAGGAUGACCAGCCACACUGGAACUGAGACACGGUCCAGACUCCUACGGGAGGCAGCAGUGGGGAAUAUUGCACAAUGGGCGCAAGCCUGAUGCAGCCAUGCCGCGUGGAGGAAGAAGGCCUACGGGUCGUGAACUUCUUUUCCCGGAGAAGAAGCAAUGACGGUAUCUGGGGAAUAAGCAUCGGCUAACUCUGUGCCAGCCGCCGCGGUAACAC